rnacentral:rRNA from 1 species
GACGAACGCUGGCGGCGUGCCUAAUACAUGCAAGUCGAACGAGAGCAACCGGUGCUUGCACUGGUCAAUCUAGUGGCGAACGGGUGAGUAACACGUGGGUAACCUGCCCAUCAGAGGGGGAUAACAUCCGGAAACGGAUGCUAAAACCGCAUAGGUCUUCGAACCGCAUGGUUUGAAGAGGAAAAGAGGCGCAAGCUUCUGCUGAUGGAUGGACCCGCGGUGCAUUAGCUAGUUGGUGAGGUAACGGCUCACCAAGGCCGUGAUGCAUAGCCGACCUGAGAGGGUGAUCGGCCGCAUUGGGACUGAGACACGGCCCAAACUCCUACGGGAGGCAGCAGUAGGGAAUCUUCCGCAAUGGACGCAAGUCUGACGGAGCAACGCCGCGUGAGUGAAGAAGGUUUUCGGAUCGUAAAACUCUGUUGUUAGAGAAGAACAAGUGCUAGAGUAACUGUUAGCGCCUUGACGGUAUCUAACCAGAAAGCCACGGCUAACUACGUG